AAGCAAAGAAAUCAUUCUCAGGAUGCGCAAUAUUACUGAUUGUAAGUACACCAUCUUGCCAUCCAUAUGCAUGCCGUGACUGGAGUAAAUUAAUUACUGAUUUAUAUUGUUGUAAAUUAAUUACUGAUUUAUAUUGGUUGUAGAUACUGUAUUUGGACAACCUACAAUGCCAACAUCAGGUUCAGCACAUGGACACUCCUCGUGCAAAGUACUUUACUCAAAAUGUGAUAAAAAAGAUAAUCAGUGCCGAUAGGACCAAAGAUCAACAAGGGAAGGCUACAUUUGGGUUGUUACCGGUUCGGUCUAUUCACACAUGUCCUCUUUUUAUUAUGUCAAAUAUUCUCCAGUAUUUCCCCCCAAUACACUUCGUGUGUGCAGCUUAGGAACAUCAUCGAUACUUGCUACCAUACAACUGAGAACCCAUCUUCAACUACCCC
rnacentral:lncRNA from 1 species